ACUAUUUUGGCAGAUAAGUGCAUUAGAUUUAGAAUCUAUUAAUGUGAAGUAAUUUUACAGGUAGUA
rnacentral:tRNA from 1 species